rnacentral:rRNA from 1 species
AAGSCCCCCCUCAAGAUGAGAUUUCCCAUAGCGUAAGCUAGUAAGAUCCCUGAAAGAUGAUCAGGUUGAUAGGUUCGAGGUGGAAGCAUGGUGACAUGUGGAGCUGACGAAUACUAAUAGAUCGAGGACUUAACCAUAUAAUAUGUA